GCUCCUGUGGCACAAUGGUAGUGUAUUCCAUUCUUUGUGGAAAGGUUGAGGGUUCGAUUCCUUCCAGGAGCU